CAGGUCUGUUUUAAUAGAAGUGACAAGAUUGAUUGUUUAAAGGCCGGUCAAGGCCUCUGUGUUUCAGGUUGCUUUUUUAUGGAUCGAUUAAUCAAAAAGAUUUAAAUCUGCCAUACUGUAGAUCAUAGCUUAUGAAAACUGUAUAUAGAUUGUUUGGGCUGAACCAAUCUUUCUUUUUGUGUACACUGCACAAUGUUUGCUAAACUUUGCAACUUCCCAUGGCACCGUGCAGCAUAAUGUUCUAGUAGUGCUCUUCAAGUCCCAGAGCUUAAGAG